rnacentral:lncRNA from 1 species
AUGAGUCUCUCAAACCUGCCAUCUGGAGCUAGGUGUUAUGUUAAUUCCUAUCUGCACGUCUCAAAAAGAAGCCAUCUGUCUUCCUCUAAAGCGUUCUUCGUCAGUAGUAUAAAUAUAGCCAAGAUUACACAGAUCAGGAGUGCAGGCAGGGGACCCUCAACAUCACCAGUGUCCACGGUGAAGGAUUUCCUUACUACACACUCCCUGGGGAAAUGAAUGAAUGGAAGUAAAUUGAUUCAGACUUCUCAGAAAUGACAGGAAGCUUGAGGUAAAUAGUAAGUAAAUCUUUGAGAACCAAUCACUUCCACUAGAAAGGCAACUCAAAAAUUCCCUUCCUUUUGCAAAGAGUAAUGCAAUGUCUGUGACAUCUACAUGUAUUUGUUUUGCACUACUUUGGGUUCAAACUUGGCUAUACUUUAUAAUCACCCAUACACUUUUUAAAAUCUCCCAACUGAAACAGAACAUAGGAGGUGCGGGUGCGGAGCAUGGCUAACUUUCAGGUACAUCUCUAGGGGUCCUAAUAACUAACCAAUGUGGAGAGCAUCGGUCGAGGGGCUUUCUUACCCACCCUAAUCUGGUCCUCAGAUUCACCUCAGCAGCUCAGUCUGCUAUCAAACAGACGUGGUAUCAAGGGGUUUAAACCUUUGCCGGGUGGAAAAUAAAAAGCAGUCUCAUGUCAGCAGAGAAACACUAAUUUCUAAUUCUUUAAGGGUAUUCCGAUUUUAAACUUCAGGUUCUAAAGAGUUGCCAUUGCUUUUAAUUUAGUGCUAUCACAAAUGUAAUUUAUUGCAGGAUUAUUUCCAAGGCUACCCUCGGGCUUUCUUCUUGUACUAAAAUGCUACUUCUACAACUUUCAUUAGAUUAUAGCUUUAUUACUGUAAGUUGACUCUCAUCUAUCUAAAGUACUUGCCAGGUGUGAUGAAGUGUCAGGAUGAGCUGUUCAGACACUAAGGGCUUCGAGAGAGCUGAGGAGGGAGAAAUCAAUUCGGAUUUUCACGGCACCCAGAGUGGAACGUGGACUGGGUGAGGAAAGGGAAACCGAGUCCUGGGCAGAGGGCACAGCAAGAAAUGAGCAAGAGGUGAUUCUAGGAAUGCAAAGCGCUGCGCCCUAAAGACAUCAGUACUCAUUCAUC